ACUAACUCUUUCUUCAUUCCUAACACAUUCAAUUCUAACUCUACCUUCUUUUCUAUUUUCUCACGGUUUCUUAACUCUUUUGAACCUUCCCUUAUUUUCUUAAUAACUCCCCUAAAUUUUUUCUAAUACCGGAUAAUGUCUUCGGACCAAAGAUUUAUCGCCUUUGGCUGGGCCCGCGUUGGAUUCGCUCGUUGGUAGGGUAAAAGCCUACCAAGGCGACGAUCCAUAGCUGGUCUGAGAGGAUGAUCAUCCACAAUGGGAAUGAGACACGGCCCAGACUCCUACGGGAGGAAGCAGUGGGGAAUAUUGGACAAUGGGAGAAAGCAUGAUACAGAAAUGAAGAGUGAGUGAUGAGGGACUUAGGGUUGUAAAGCUCUUUUACCCGGGAUGAUAAUGACAGUACCGGGAGAAUAAGCUCAGGAUAAAUCCGGG
rnacentral:rRNA from 1 species